rnacentral:rRNA from 1 species
AGUGAACGCUGGCGGUAGGCCUAACACAUGCAAGUCGAACGGCAGCACAGUAAGAGCUUGCUCUUACGGGUGGCGAGUGGCGGACGGGUGAGGAAUACAUCGGAAUCUACUUUUUCGUGGGGGAUAACGUAGGGAAACUUACGCUAAUACCGCAUACGACCUACGGGUGAAAGCAGGGGAUCUUCGGACCUUGCGCGAUUGAAUGAGCCGAUGUCGGAUUAGCUAGUUGGCGGGGUAAAGGCCCACCAAGGCGACGAUCCGUAGCUGGUCUGAGAGGAUGAUCAGCCACACUGGAACUGAGACACGGUCCAGACGCCUACGGGAGGCAGCAGUGGGGAAUAUUGGACAAUGGGCGCAAGCCUGAUCCAGCCAUACCGCGUGGGUGAAGAAGGCCUUCGGGUGGUAAAGCCCUUUUGUUGGGAAAGAAAAGCAGCAGGUUAAUACCCCGCUGUUCUGACGGUACCCAAAGAAUAAGCACCGGCUAACUUCGU